ensembl:lncRNA
CGAGGCCCUCUGCGCCGGGAUGUUGGGAGACUGGCCUGGAAGGCAGGGUUCCCGCGACCCAGUGGAGCUGCACCCGGCCCGGUGUAGUUUGAAACCCUCCCUCCCGGCCGGCGUCCCUACCUCUUCACCGCCGAAACGAUGGACCAGAGCUAGUCAUCUGUCGUGCCGGACCUCCAGGCCCCAGUUCUCAAGCUAAGCCUGUUCCGACGCUGGGCUCUGCUGGGGCUUUUUACAGGGGUGCCCAACCAAAGCAGUCCCCACACCUUCUGGGACAGGGAACAAGAGACAGAGAGAACCAACACCCAGUAGUACCUGGUGAGGCCCCACGCCUCCCGACAAGGUUUCCUCUGCAAGUCUCUAGUGUAGUUUGUUGUUGUGUUUGGAGAGACACCUAAGAUACAGAGGGCUUAGAACUUGUAGGUGCCUUUUCACAGUCUACUUCACUUCCACAUACCUUCUUCAGUGAGCUCUCAUGCUUCCUCUGGUCUGACUGUGUGACAGAUUUGUGUGGGGGUGGGUCUUUUCUCCCUAUCUGGGGGCUUCUGAGCCUAAGAAUCCUAGAGUUUCUGGCCACGUCACUUAAUUCCUUUUUCUAGUUCCUUGAAGAAGGCAGGAAGGGAGGUCGGAUUGUGGCCACCAUGGUGGUGGUGGUCAGAACUGUAGCUGAAACCAGGUCUCAAAGCCAGUGUCGCGUUCUGAGGAGCGGAGGCCCUCAGGGCCCUCAUUUGCCUUGGGGAGUGCCCCCUCUAACGUCUCUCUUCAGUCUGUAUUGGUGGUUUUAAAGUUGAACUUCUCAGACUGCUCACACACGCCUUGAAGGUGGAAGCUGUCAGCUUGAUCCCACAUCCGGAUGCUAUCUUGGUACAUAGGGAAUGUAAUCAGAAAGUUGGACUGCCAAUGGCCUGAGUCCUUGCUCUUUGGUCAGGAGGUGAAGUUCCUAGGAAGGUAGGGCCAACGCGUGAGUUGUUUUGUGGAAUGUGCCAAACCUUAUUGUAUUGUAUCGAAGCUGCUAGACUAAAUAACCAGGUAGACUACAGAGUUUCAGCCACCAAGUCUCGCACAACCUCCCAUGGAAGUGGGGAGGCCCGAGGACUGGGCAGAGGUUUCUAGCCCCAGGAACUGAGGGAAGUUAGUUAGAAAAACAAGAGUUUGGAAUGUGAGUUCCCCUCUCCCCCACGGGCUGCCUGCCAAGGAGGAAUUAUUUUGGAUUAUCCAGCCGUCCAGCGAGUCCAGCUACCCAAAGAGGAGGCUAAAGCAGAAGGGGAGACUGAAGCAGCCAGGGGAGAGGGACCCACUUCCGGGCUGCGAGUUGAGAACCCCAGGAGGGCGGGGCUGAGAACUCCAGGAGGGCGGGGCGGCAAGUCCAGGCAGCUCCACCACCUCCCUCCCUUGGCUGCUCAGACCAGUCAGGGGUGGUGUAGGAGGGCAUGUGUCACCUUGGGUUGGAGAAGGUCCUCAAGGUCGGCUCCUUUGUAGGCCCUGCCCAACCUGGAAUAUGCCCAGGCUCCUCUGAGAAAACUCAUGGCGGGAGGAAGUACUUUAGACCUAUCUGGAAGACUGUUCACUUCCCAAAGCCAUUCAUAAUAUGUUUAAGGAUACCUCGGAUGGGUCACACCCCUGGCAGAGACUCAUAAGGAAGCACAUCCCUGGGGUCUUAGUGGAGCUGAACCGCAGGCUCAGCUCCUGACCAGAGGCUCACUGAGGGGAUGACCCCUCCUCGUUGGAAUGUGAUAGCAGUCGGGACACCCCACAGCCUUGCUCUUGAUGUUCAGGGAGUAAGUUUUUGUCCCUAUCGAGGGCCUCUUGUUAAAGCAUUGGCUUGGUGAGGAUGAAGAGGUAAGUUGAUUAGAACGCCAACCAAGGCUUGGUAGUAGUAGUCCAGGCUCUGGCUAGCUUGUGGGUAG